UGCUUCCAUCUGGAAGAAUCUGGAGACAGGUGCUGCAUGGCUGUCGUCAGCUCGUGUCGUGAGAUGUUGGGUUAAGUCCCGCAACGAGCGCAACCCUUGCCUUUUAGUUGCCAGCAGUUCGGCUGGGCACUCUAAAGGGACUGCCGGUGUUAAACCGGAGGAAGGUGGGGAUGACGUCAAGUCCUCAUGGCCUUUAUGACCAGGGCUACACACGUACUACAAUGGCCGAUACAAAGGGCAGCGACACUGCGAGGUGAAGCCAAUCCCGUAAAAUCGGUCUCAGUCCGGAUUGGAGUCUGCAACUCGACUCCAUGAAGUUGGAAUCGCUAGUAAUCGUGGAUCAGCAUGCCACGGUGAAUACGUUCCCGGGCCUU
rnacentral:rRNA from 1 species